AAAUCGCCAUCAGCUGCUUUCAGAUGGAGCGGCAUUAAUUACACAGACCCGUAGUUCACCGAGAAGAUAGGCAAAAUUGCAUCGAUUAUCGGAGUCGAUUUUCCUUGAUUUUGAACCAGAUUUUGCCUAGCUUCUCGUUGAACUACGGGUCUGUGUAAUAUAUGCCGCUCCAUCUGAAAGCAGCUGAUGGCGUUUUACUUCUAAUCACGGAACCGGCAUUACUGAUGAAACACGCAUGAGAAUCACAGACGAUUUUUUUUGCAUAGCCCUACUCUCCUACGCACUCACACACACACUCACUCUCCCCCUCUCUCUGUGUGUCCCUCUUUCAAUUUGCUUUGCCUAUUUCUCUUUGCAUUCUUUCUUUUCUUUAAUAUGGCAUCUUCAGGUUUUGACCAGUUAUGCCAGGAAGCUGCAACUAUUUCAAAACAUCUUGACAUGAAAGCUGACAAUGCUGAACUUGAAGCAGCUACCAGGGAGGCUGAAGAAAUUCUACAAAUGUUCAAUCCUCCACUGCUGAAAAAGAAGACGAAACGAGCGAUUUCCUGGACUCAACAGACACAGUGAACUUUGAACUGCAUUUCAAAGCCAGCUUCUCAGCCGCAACACCGAGAACCAGAGUUGAGGUCAAUGUACUGCUGAGAAAAGUGCAAGAUCUGUUUAACCAAAAAUAUAAGGAUGCCGGAGGUACUGGAAGGCUCCCCUACCAGUCCCUGGUAAAUCAAGGCAUGACAGUUAAAGUUGCAGGACAGCCUCAAAAAGCCAUUCUAUUAUGGAAGGAAGCAGUUGGAGGCCAUUUUCAUUUGAAAUCAAUGCAGCACAAUGCAACUCCACUGACAAAGCAGAAGGAAUGUCAGAGGUGAUGGACGAAGAAGAGCUGGAAGAACAGUCCUCAGAAACAGCCACUACUGUAGCUAUCGUGAUGACUGCAGAUUAAGAUGGAGGCCAUUUGUGCUGUGUCUGCCGCGUCCUUUUCGAUGACAGGAAGAAAAAUGCUUCAAAGAAGUGGCGUUCAUGGUCACAGUGCACAGUGUGCCAAUCAUGGUCACACACUGCAUGUGGUUUUAAAAAAACAUGUGCCUUAAAUGCCAGUGUAAAGACACCAUGCAAACAGCCUGUAGCGCUGCAUCAGUGAUAGGAAACAUGCUAGUUACACAAGAUGUUUUAUGUUUUAACUUUGAGUUGUUUUUACUUUGUUCAUGACCCCAUCCCUACAAACACACACACACACACACACAUUUUUUUUAUUUUUAUGUAUUAGGUGCCAUUUAAUCUUUUUCAUGCAAAUGUAUUGUAAUGAUUACACUUAUAAUAAAACAUAUUUUUCAUUCA